AGUGAAAUGGCCAAGCAGUCUAAGGCACCAGACUAAGGACCAAUGCAUAGGAUGUGUAACCUCAAUCUAGUCAUUUGUGGCAUGGGUUUGAAUCCCACUCUCAUCA